AAGUCGUAACAAGGUUUCCGUAGGUGAACCUGCGGAAGGAUCAUUAGUGAAUAAGCAAGUGCAGGUUGUGCUGGCCUUCUUGGUAUGUGCACGCCUGCCAAAGUUUCAUUCCAUCUUCCCACCUGUGCACUCUGUGUAGAUUCUGUAUGCUGUUGUCAAGCCUUUAUUGUGCUUGGUUGAGAGGAGUUGCUUGUUUUCACAAACAAGCUCUUCUUGGGCAUGCAGGUCUAUGUUUAUAUCAACACCAUAUGAAUGUUUUAGAAUGUGUAUCAGGCUUUUGGCCUUUAAAUUAUAUACAACUUUCAACAACGGAUCUCUUGGCUCUC
rnacentral:misc_RNA from 1 species